GAGAUACUGAGUGUACUGUGCACGCAGAGGUGAGCAUAUAGGAAGCGCAAGCUUCCAUCCCCUCGCUGAGAAGGAACCAGAUGUGCAGAGGGAAACCCUGGCAGAUUUUUGUGCAAACAGAAGACUUGACCUCUUGUAUCGAGGAGCUCCACCCACUACAGUCAGACGGGACAAAGCCUGUGUUUGGUUUGGGAUUAGGCAUUUGCACAGAAGAGCAUUAGUCCUGCUGCAUCAGCCAUGGGGCUCAAGCUCAGGGAGAAAGCUGCUUCCUUCUUCUUUGAAUAUGACACCCCCCGGAUGGUGCUGGUAAACAACAAGAAAGUGGGACUCGUCUUCCGGCUGAUCCAGCUUGUGGUCCUUGGAUACAUCAUAGGGUGGGUUUUCCUCUAUGAGAAGGGUUAUCAGUCACAGGACGGCAUCAUCAGCUCGGUCUCGGUGAAGCUCAAAGGUUUAACUGUUACUAACGUUAGUGGGAUAGGCCCACACGUCUGGGACGUGGCCGACUAUGUAUUUCCAUCUCAGGGGGACAGUUCUUUUGUGGUGAUGACAAACGUCAUUAUCACCCGCGGACAGAAGCAGGAUAUUUGCCCUGAGCUGCCCGAUGCAGGACGAUGCAAUAAAGAUAGCGACUGUAUCCAAGGGAAUUACAGUCGCCAGGGACAAGGUAUCAUGACUGGGAAGUGUGUAGAUUUCAACAGUGAUGUCCAGACCUGUGAGAUUUUUGGCUGGUGCCCUGUAGAAGAGGACGGUCAGAUUCCUGACCCCCCGUUGCUCUUAGAAGCUGAAAAAUUUACCUUAUUUAUUAAGAACAGCAUCAGCUUCCCCACAUUUAAAGUCUCCAGACGCAACCUAGUGGAGGGCAUUACCACAAGCUACCUGAAAAAAUGCACCUACCACAAAAACAAAGAUCCUUUUUGCCCUGUGUUUGAGCUGGGAUACAUUGUGAAGGAAUCGGGACAAAAUUUUCAUGCCCUGGCCCUUAAGGGCGGGGUUGUCGGUAUCACCAUAGACUGGGACUGUGACCUCGACUGGCCCGUGACAUACUGUAAACCCGUUUACCAGUUUCACGGACUUUACAAUGAUGACAAUAACGUUUCACCAGGCUUCAACUUCAGGUAUGCCAAAUACUACAGAGAUAAUGGAACUGACUACAGGACUUUGUACAAGGUGUUUGGAAUCCGGUUUGACAUCCUGGUGAAUGGAAAGGCAGGUAAAUUUGACAUCAUCCCAACGAUGACCACAAUAGGCUCUGGAAUUGGUAUAUUUGGAGUGGCAUCUGUAGUGUGUGAUCUGCUCCUGCUGCACUUUCUCCCACGACGGGAUUAUUACAAACAGAGGAAAUUCAAAUAUGCGGAAAUGAAGACUCCCGUGUCUAGUUGGGAGUGCUUCACUAAGAAUGGUGUGAAACAUAUUGAGACCAAUUGGAUCAUGAUUACUGUUGCACAACAGAGAUAAGUCUUUAUCACUGAUGCUGCUGUGGGGUAAUCCCAGAAGGAAUAAUUGUUUCAUCUGGUUUGGACUGGGCAAUAUCACAGGAAAAAGAAGAGGCUUCCCCUUCCUCCAUGUGCAAUCUGCAGAACAACAUGACGGGCUCUCAGUGAAAUGGUCUGCACUGAAAGAAGAACCUGCAACCUCUUCCUCUUCUGAUAUUUUGUAAUAGCCCCCAGUUCAUCAGGCCAUCACAGACCAAAUGCCAGCUGAACUCACCAUUUUAUACCUUAGACUGAGUAUUCCUAGGCUGAUACAUUUUGGCUGUGUUUCAACAGACUAUAUUUGUCAGGAUAGGAGUGCACAUCUUUAUGAGCACAGCCAAAAUGUGAGUGGAAGCCCAAUGGGCUGCAAGAUAGCAGAUGGUUCUGAUUUAGUCGCAGCUUUAGGCACUGACUAAACUAUUCUGGCAUGGGGGAUUCCCACUGACUUCACCCCAAGAAAAGAGAAGCAUGGAGUCCCAUUCAUUUAAAGCACAGAGGGACUUUUUCCUUGUUGCUCUUUUUUAAAAGGCCCUCUGAAGUUAAGGUGACCAGCUGUCCUGAUUUUAUAGGGACAGUCCCGAUAUUCAGGGCUUGGUCUUAUCUAGGCGCCUAUUACCCCCCCACCCCGUCCCAAUUUUUCACACUUGCUAGCUGGUCAGCUUGUCUGAAGUGCUACUAUCCUUGGUCCAAAUACAAUAGACAGAGAGGGAGAGGUUAGGCCAAACUAAAUACUGAGUGUAAAACAAAUAUGGGGAGACCCAAACAGUACUGAUUACAUCACCCUCCUGAUCCCUAGUUGGGUGUUGGCACCACAUAUGAUAAGGCACACACCCAUAGAGUCCAAUGAGAUCAUAGCAGACAGUUCUAGUUCCACCUAGAUCUUCUGUGGUCUGCUAUGAAAUGCACAGGGGCUGUUUGGAGCUAUGCUCUGGAUUAGCCUAGGAUCUGCCUGAUUUGUAGGGACUUUGUUAGCCCUGGCUAAGCCACUUCCCUGUAGAGGAGUGCCUACUCCUGAUGCGGACCGCACUGUUCCUCUUGGUCAAUUACAACACUUGGUUAUUUAUUUUAUUAAAAAAUAAACCUCUAGUUUUUCUACUAA